GUGUCAGCCGCCGCGGUAAUACCGGCAGCUCAAGUGAUGACCGAUAAUAUUGGGCCUAAAGCGUCCGUAGCUGGCCGCACAAGUCUGUCCGGAAAUCCACCCGCUUAACGGGUGGGCGUCCGGCGGAAACUGUGCGGCUUGGGACAGGAAGGCUCGAGGGGUAGGUUCGGGGUAGGAGUGAAAUCCCGUAAUCCUGAACGGACCACCGAUGGCGAAAGCACCUCGAGAGGACUGAUCCGACAGUGACGGACGAAAGCUGGGGUCUCGAACCGGAUUAGAUACCCCUGUAGUCC
rnacentral:rRNA from 1 species